rnacentral:rRNA from 1 species
AUUGAACGCUGGCGGCAUGCUUUACACAUGCAAGUCGAACGGUAACAGGCCGCAAGGUGCUGACGAGUGGCGAACGGGUGAGUAACGCAUCGGAACGUGCCCAGUCGUGGGGGAUAACUGCUCGAAAGAGCAGCUAAUACCGCAUACGAUCUGUGGAUGAAAGCGGGGGACCUUCGGGCCUCGCGCGAUUGGAGCGGCCGAUGUCAGAUUAGGUAGUUGGUGGGGUAAAGGCUCACCAAGCCAACGAUCUGUAGCUGGUCUGAGAGGACGACCAGCCACACUGGGACUGAGACACGGCCAAGACUCCUACGGGAGGCAGCAGUGGGGAAUUUUGGACAAUGGGGGCAACCCUGAUCCAGCAAUGCCGCGUGCAGGAAGAAGGCCUUCGGGUUGUAAACUGCUUUUGUACGGAACGAAACGGUCUGGGUUAAUACCCUGGGCUAAUGACGGUACCGUAAGAAUAAGCACCGGCUAACUACGUGCCAGCCGCCGCGGUAAGAC